rnacentral:rRNA from 1 species
GUGAGGAAUAUUGGUCAAUGGACGUAAGUCUGAACCAGCCAAGUAGCGUGCAGGACGAAGGCCCUAUGGGUUGUAAACUGCUUUUAUGCGGGGGUAAAGUGAGUGACGUGUCAUUCAUUGCAAGUACCGCAAGAAUAAGGACCGGCUAAUUCCGUGCCAGCAGCCGCGGUAAUACGGAAGGUCCUGGUGUUAUCCGGAUUUAUUGGGUUUAAAGGGAGCGUAGGCCGUCAGGCAAGCGUGUUGUGAAAUGUCGUGGCUCAACCAUGGACUUGCAGCGCGAACUGCCCGACUUGAGUGCGCAGAAAGCAGGCGGAAUUUGUGGUGUAGCGGUGAAAUGCUUAGAUAUCACGAAGAACCCCGAUUGCGAAGGCAGCCUGCUGUAGCGCUACUGACGCUGAAGCUCGAAAGUGCGGGUAUCGAACAGGAUUAGAAACCCGUGUAGUCC